rnacentral:lncRNA from 10 species
CUUUCUUUGUAUAAAGAUGUCUUUUUUUUUUUCCCUGUCAGAUGGCAGAUGGGAAAAGUCGUUCCUUGAGUACUGGUCACCUGCCUAGCACUUUGCGCACCGUAGGCCCUUCGGCCCUCCCAAUAGUCCUGUGAGGAAGUAGUACUGUGCCCUUUCUAUCCCAAGGUCCCCUUCAGUUGGUCACAAGAGGAAAUUUCUGACUUGUACGAUCACACCACCAUCCUGUUUGCAGCCGAAGUGUUUUACGACGACGACUUGACUGAUGCUGUGUUUAAAACGCUCUCCCGACUCGCCCACAGAUUGAAAAAUGCCUGCACAGCCAUACUGUCGGUGGAGAAGAGGCUCAACUUCACAUUGAGACACUUGGACGUCACAUGUGAAGCCUACGAUCACUUCCGCUCCUGCCUGCACGCGCUGGAGCAGCUCGCAGAUGGCAAG